UACAGAGGGUGCAAGCGUUGUUCGGAAUUAUUGGGCGUAAAGGGCGCGUAGGCGGUGCCACAAGUCACCUGUGAAAUCUCCGGGCUUAACUCGGAGCCUGCAGGCGAAACUGUGGUGCUGGAGUGUGGGAGAGGUGCGUGGAAUUCCUGGUGUAGCGGUGAAAUGCGCAGAUAUCAGGAGGAACACCGGUGGCGAAGGCGGGUCUCUGGGCCGAUACUGACGCUGAGGAGCGAAAGCGUGGGGAGCGAACAGG
rnacentral:rRNA from 1 species